rnacentral:rRNA from 1 species
CGGCGGACGGGUGAGUAAUGCCUAAGAAUCUGCCUGGUAGUGGGGGAUAACGUUCGGAAACGGACGCUAAUACCGCAUACGUCCUACGGAAAAAAGCAGGGGACCUUCGGGCCUUGCGCUAUCAAAUGAGCCUAGGUCGGAUUAGCUAGUUGGUGAGGUAAUGGCUCACCAAGGCGACCAUCCGUAACUGGUCUGAGAGGAUGAUCAGUCACACUGGAACUGAGACACGGUCCACACUCCUACGGGAGGCAGCAGUGGGGAAUAUUGGACAAUGGGCGAAAGCCUGAUCCAGCCAUGCCGCGUGUGUGAAGAAGGUCUUCGGAUUGUAAAGCACUUUAAGUUGGGAGGAAGGGCAGUUACCUAAUACGUGAUUGUUUUGACGUUACCGACAAAAUAAGCACCGGCUAACUCUGUGCCAGCAGCCGCGGUAAUACAGAGGGUGCAAGCGUUAAUCAUAAUUACUGGGCGUACAGCGCGCGUAGGUGGUUUGUUAAGUUGGAUGUGACAUCCCCGGGCUCAACCUGAGAACUGCAUUCAAAACUGACUGACUAGAGUAUGGUAGAGGGGUGGUGUUAUUUUCCUGUGUAGCGGUGAAAUGCAUA